rnacentral:rRNA from 1 species
CAGUAGCCACGGGAAUACAGAGGGUGCGAGCGUUAAUCGGAUUUACUGGGCGUAAAGCGUGCGUAGGCGGCUUCUUAAGUCGGAUGUGAAAUCCCUGAGCUUAACUUAGGAAUUGCAUUCGAUACUGGGAAGCUAGAGUAUGGGAGAGGAUGGUAGAAUUCCAGGUGUAGCGGUGAAAUGCGUAGAGAUCUGGAGGAAUACCGAUGGCGAAGGCGACCACCUGGACUGAUACUGACACUGAGGUGCGAAAGCGUGGGGAGCAAACAGGAUUAGAUACCCGAGUAGUCCCUGUCUCUUAUAC